AUGUGUACGAGAGGCGGGACGGACCCGUGACUUCUGCGUACCACCCAGGCAGGGACGGAGUCAGGGGGUGGCAAGCAGAGGCCCGGGCCCCUGCCCCUGCAAAAUAUUUUAAAUUUGUUUAUUAUUUAAUAUUUUUAAUUUAAAUAAAUAAGCUUUUUAAUAAUAUAUAUUAUUAUAUUAAUUUUAGCCUCCCUGUAAAAUUUACCUAGCUCCGCCCCAGCACCACCCAGGGAUAGCGACUGAAGAGAAGGGGUUCUGUCUCCGACAUAGGAAGGAAGGAUUCUUAUAAACGUUAGCAGGUCAUACUUUCUGCUAUCGACACAGACAGUGGCAAUCGCAGCUGCAUUUCUCGAGAGGUCUCUUCCCACCAUCAAACCUUACCAGCCCUUGACAUAUGAGGAAUAUCGCGUGAGUGAAAAGCCAUCUGAGUCGAGAUCACAGCCUUCUAGCCCUGUGCUAAAGCAAAAGGGGCCUCCUUCUACAUGAAAAAUGAAAAAGACUUGUCGGAAAAUAUCG
rnacentral:lncRNA from 1 species